UAGAGUUUGAUCCUGGCUCAGAUUGAACGCUGGCGGCAUGCUUUACACAUGCAAGUCGAACGGCAGCACGGGGGCAACCCUGGUGGCGAGUGGCGAACGGGUGAGUAAUAUAUCGGAACAUGUCCGGAAGUGGGGGAUAACGUAGCGAAAGUUACGCUAAUACCGCAUAUGCCCUGAGGGGGAAAGGGGGGAUCGCAAGACCUCUCGCUUUCGGAGUGGCCGAUAUCGGAUUAGCUAGUAGGUGAGGUAAAGGCUCACCUAGGCGACGAUCCGUAGCUGGUCUGAGAGGACGACCAGCCACACUGGAACUGAGACACGGUCCAGACUCCUACGGGAGGCAGCAGUGGGGAAUUUUGGACAAUGGGCGCAAGCCUGAUCCAGCCAUGCCGCGUGAGUGAAGAAGGCCUUCGGGUUGUAAAGCUCUUUCAGACGGAAAGAAACGGUCACGGUUAAUAACCGUGGCUAAUGACGGUACCGUAAGAAGAAGCACCGGCUAACUACGUGCCAGCAGCCGCGGUAU
rnacentral:rRNA from 1 species